ACACCUGGGACGUGCACGGAAGGGCCGGGAUGCGGCUCCCUGGCCCAGCAGCAGCACCAAAAUGGCCACGCAGGGGUUCAGCAGCGUGGGGAGAAACAGGAGAGGGCGAAGGUGUUUCCUCUGCUUUCGGGUGCUUUCUGGACACCACUGCCGUGUUUUCCUCUCAACGGCUUCAUUCUUCUCCGAACCAACGCUUGGAUCCGACUUUCCCAUCAAGGGAUUUUAUGACAAAGGAGCUCGUCAGCAGGUUUCCACCUGUGGUGCUGACAAGGGGGCUGCUCGUGUCACCGAGCUGAGGAACACACUGCGCAUGUGCCACGUGAACCCCUGCAUUUGCUUUGCUAAAGCACAGCAGGAACAGACCCAGCAGCUAUAGAAACCACCAAAGGCUGAGAAGCAUUUUGUUAUGUUAAAAAGGGAACAAACUUACGCAGGUUAUAACACUUACUUUGCAUUUAUAGAGCAUCCUUCAUCCAAGGACAUCAAAGCACACUGCAAACGCAUUCCUGUGACAUGCUACAUGAAGGAGCAAAUAUAUCCACUGGAAAGCACUAUUUAUGGUUUAACGAUGUUCUGUGAGCUUCCCAACUUCAUGCACCAGAUCCACAACAGAGCUUGCAGCAGCAAACCCAUCGCUGUGUCCCUCCUGCCAUCUCUCUCCAGCUGCUGGGCUCUGGCUUCUCCCUCCGGGGCUGUCCCAGGGCUCCGAGCACCACUGGCUCCUCUUGGCCAACCCUCCCAGUGCAUUGGCUGGGUUGCCCGGCUCCACCCGCACUCAGGGUGCUCCGUUUGUUUUCCUUGUGAUGAAGUUCUUCUGCCCGUUGAGUCCUUGAAGUUGGUGGCAAGCAGAAAGCUUUCUUUCUUUUUUUGAAGAGCUGCCAAAUGACAUCAGGCUGCUCAGCUCCCUAUAGCAAUGAGCUGUGAGACGCGCACCCUAGGCGAGAAGCAGGGAUAUGUGCCUUUCCCCCUCAGCAUGGGGAGCCAGGAGCUGCCUUCCUGGAGCCCAGCGUGGCACUACAUGUGCUCAUGGCUCCUUCUCCUGCUUCCGCUGGGAAGUUUUCCAUUUAACCCCAACAGGUCUGCGGGAACCGGCUCUCAGCACACCAGCAGCAUUGCUUGGCAGGGAUGGGCAGUUUGGUUUGAAAAGCAAAGCAAAACAAACACAACAGGCUCCAACCUGUGUUCUGCUGCCUGCAAUAACCCAAAAGGGUUUGCUCUGGGGUCAAGGCAGCCAGCAGGACCUUCUGCAUGGGCGCUUGCAGAAGGGCUGCAGAGGCAGCUGCUGGUCCUUCCCCAUGGCUGUGGGUAACAAAGAAGCCCCACGGCAUGCAGGUGAUGAGCAGAAGGAUGUCCCUUGCCCAGGUGACCGUAAUUCAGGUAAAACAACCUCUCAUUUGUUGCCAAUUCCCAGCUGCAGGCUGCCAGAGUCGGGCUGGCAAAGCCUGGCCAUGAGGCUGUGAUGCUUGGGAACGAGGAAAAAUAACGGAAAAAGGGAUUUUCAGAUACAUUUGGCUUUCUAAGGAGAAAGGCCUGCAGAAAAUGUUAACUCACUGGAAAAGUAAAACUGCUCUGUCUGCACUUUGCUUUUGUACAAAAGGUCAGCAUUUUCCAGGAAAAAAAAAAACACCAAAAAGCUCCUCCUCCAUUCAGUUCUGGUUCAAAGCAUGCACAGGCCUUAGAGCCAUGAGCCCUCUGCAGAGCCACUGCAGCCAAGGGGCUGAUCCCGACCCCUGGGCAUAGGUGGACAGCUAUCCCCUGACCUUCCAGGCUCUGCAGCACGAGCUGCACCACAUAAUUGCUUUUUUUAUUAAAGACUUGUGCUGUA